CCCAAUUUAUUUAUUUUAUUCCGAAUUUAUGUUACCCCGUUGGACGCACUGCCCGACCGGAUGAAGGCCGGACAAAACCUUUUUCUGUCCAUCCCACGACCCAAACGGACCAAAACGACCGCAAAGUGCGGUCUGUUUGGGACGCCCCGCUAGAGUUGCCCUUAGGUCCUAAAAUAUAUUUUAAGUGGUUCUCGCGAGAUCCUGUGUUGGUUCUGACGCGUUUGAUCCGCCUACGUGGCUCAUUGACCCGAUACAUGUCAGCAAGGAGGUCCACAUGCCAUAACCAAUUGUAAUGUAAGUUAGCAGAAACCCUCUCGCCAAAGGGUCAUCUCUCUCAUUCUCCCCUCGUUUACCUUCCGCGAUAAUAGUAGAACCCCGGAUGCAUUUAUCUCUUUGUUUAGGCAUGAACGAAGAUCAGGCGGGCAUGUUAUGAGCACCGAAGUCAUCAUCAAAAGUGUGCAUGUUAUGGAUUUUUUUUUCAAGAAAAGGUGGUAAGAGUUUUUUUUCCCGCUAGGGUUUUGUUGUUUCUUGGGCAAGAAAUGAUAAUUUCUCGGUCAACCACGACAGGAAGCCAUUCGAUCAUGGUGUGUCGACAGGUUGGGUAGCUCUGGUUCCGACUUUUCUUCAUCACAGUUUAAGCACUAACGAGGCUAGUGGGCCUUUUCGUUUUUCUCAGCCUUUAACAUUUUUCCUUAUUUCCUCUGGAAUGGGAUUUUAUUGGGCCACAGGUAGAACAUUACUCACCCUACAUUUUAUAUCAACACCCUAGAUGCUUGUUGUUGUUCUAGAAAACAACAGGAGUACGGGGUGCCAAUGCUCGAUGGCUCAAGUGCGAGAAUAGUAUGUAGGGUGUGUACGCCGGCCUUAUAGCGAAGGUCGCCGUACACUUGGAUAAGUUUGACACGUUGAUAUUUUUUGAAUAGGUUCGGUCGACCCUGCGGGUACGACUUAGUCCUAUGUUAGGAGAGGCUUCGAGGGGGUCGUUAGCCGGGUGUUUGGGCCGAACUCAUUUUCCCAAAUCACCUAU
rnacentral:lncRNA from 1 species